rnacentral:rRNA from 1 species
GACGAACGCUGGCGGCGUGCUUAACACAUGCAAGUCGAACGGGUCUGCCCUGUUUUUUGCGGGGUGGGUCAGUGGCGAACGGGUGAGUAACACGUGAGUAACCUGCCCCUCACUUCUGGAUAACCGCUUGAAAGGGUGGCUAAUACGGGGUGUUCUGGCUGUGCCGCAUGGUGUGGCUGGGAAAGAUUCACUUUUGUGGUGUUUUGGUGGGGGAUGGGCUCGCGGCCUAUCAGCUUGUUGGUGGGGUGAUGGCCUGCCAAGGCUUUGACGGGUAGCCGGCCUGAGAGGGUGGGCGGUCACACUGGGACUGAGAUACGGCCCAGACUCCUGCGGGAGGCAGCAGUGGGGGGUAUUGCACAAUGGGCGGAAGCCUGAUGCAGCGACGCCGCGUGAGGGAUGGAGGCCGUCGGGUUGUGAACCUCUUUCGCCGGUGAAGAAGGUCCUGCUCUUUGGGGUGGGGUUGACGGUAGCCGGGUUAUGAAGCGCCGGCUAACUACGUG